UGUCGUCAGCUCGUGUUGUGAAAUGUUGGGUUAAGUCCCGCAACGAGCGCAACCCUUAUCCUUUGUUGCCAGCGGUCCGGCCGGGAACUCAAAGGAGACUGCCAGUGAUAAACUGGAGGAAGGUGGGGAUGACGUCAAGUCAUCAUGGCCCUUACGACCAGGGCUACACACGUGCUACAAUGGCGCAUACAAAGAGAAGCGACCUCGCGAGAGCAAGCGGACCUCAUAAAGUGCGUCGUAGUCCGGAUUGGAGUCUGCAACUCGACUCCAUGAAGUCGGAAUCGCUAGUAAUCGUGGAUCAGAAUGCCACGGUGAAUACGUUCCCGGGCCUUGUACACACCGCCCGUCACACCAUGGGAGUGGGUUGCAAAAGAAGUAGGUAGCUUAACCUUCGGGAGGGCGCUUACCACUUUGUGAUUCAUGACUGGGGUGAAGUCGUAACAAGGUAACCGUAGGGGAACCUGCGGUUGGAUCAC
rnacentral:rRNA from 43 species